UUCUGUGCUAGGAAUAAAACACCAGUGUAACACAUUACUGCUGCGUAGACAGCUUGGCUAAAAUCCCCACACUUCCUAGCGGAGACAGAAGCAGAGGAGGAAGAAAGGGCAAGAGUACAUUAAUGAUUCCAUCUUUAAGGAAUAUGAAGCGUUUUGGAGGAUUCGUAGUUCUGUGGCUAUGGAUGGUCGAGGCCUUGGAAAAUUGUCCAGAUGCUUGCAAAUGUAUCCAGAAAAACAAUGUGGAGGGAACAGAGGUUAAGUGUUCUAAACGGGGACUUCGUCAUUUUCCAGUCCAAUUCCCACUGGACUCAUGGAUCUUAAAAAUGGGCGAAAACAUAAUCCAGGAACUUCCAGCAAACAUCCUAACAUCUCUCCCCAAACUUGAGAGUGUCAAUCUGGAACGCAAUUCAAUUAAA